GAACCGUCCAAACGUUUAUUUCGGAAUCAUUGGGCUUAAAGGGUGCGUAGGCGGUGCGGUCAGUUGGGUGUGAAAUCCCUCGGCUCAACCGAGGAACUGCGCCCAAUACUGCCGUACUUGAGGGAGACAGAGGUAAGCGGAACUGAUGGUGGAGCGGUGAAAUGCGUUGAUAUCAUCAGGAACACCAGUGGCGAAGGCGGCUUACUGGGUCUCUUCUGACGCUGAGGCACGAAAGCUAGGGGAGCGAACGGGGAUUAGAUACCCCGGUAGUCCUAGCUGUAAACGAUGAGCACUCGAUCGGAGACUCCUCCAUAGGUUUCCCGGUCGUAGCGAAAGUGUUAAGUGCUCCGCCUGGGGAGUAUGGUCGCAAGGCUG
rnacentral:rRNA from 1 species